GUGGAUUAGAUACCCUGGUAGUCCACGCCCUAAACGAUGUCAACUAGUUGUUGGUAGAGUAAAAUCUAUGAGUAACGCAGCUAACGCGUGAAGUUGACCGCCUGGGGAGUACGAUCGCAAGAUUAAAACUCAAAUGAAUUGACGGGGGCCCGCACAAGCGGUGGAUUAUGUGGAUUAAUUCGAUGCAACGCGAAAAACCUUACCUGGCCUUGACAUGUACGGAACUUUCCAGAGAUGGAUGGGUGCCCGAAAGGGAGCCGUAACACAGGUGCUGCACGGCCGUCGUCAACU
rnacentral:rRNA from 1 species